GUUCGGGUGAGUUUGAGGGAUGGAGGGCAUCAGCAAUGCUAAAUUAACCUGCAUUCGUGCAAUGGCAGACACGUAGGGCCUGGUACAAGUGUUCGUAUUGUUGCAGAAAUUCGCACAAUGUAAACCGAAGGCCGAACACGUGUCCACCAUGUGCCUGGAGAUCGAGUCCUGGUGGGUGAGACUGGUUGAACCGCAUCAAGGCCUGUGUGGUGGACGGGAGGCAACAGUUUGCCAAGAUGACUACAGAGAGACCACGUGGCGAGCCAGCCAUGGGAGGCUAUACCUGGAACACAUCCUGUUAAUUCAAUGUGCUGCUUUAUAUAUGAUUCCUUGUUACUAUUGUAAUGAAUGGAAGUUCACUAUA